rnacentral:rRNA from 1 species
CAGCCGCCGCGGUAAUACGAAGGGGGCUAGCGUUGCUCGGAAUGACUGGGCGUAAAGGGCGCGUAGGCGGAUUGUUUAGUUAGGCGUGAAAUUCCUGGGCUUAACCUGGGGACUGCGCUUAAUACAGACAGUCUAGAGUGAGGAAGAGGGUUGUGGAAUUCCCAGUGUAGAGGUGAAAUUCGUAGAUAUUGGGAAGAACACCGGUGGCGAAGGCGGCAACCUGGUCCUUGACUGACGCUGAGGCGCGAAAGCGUGGGGAGCAAACAGGAUUAGAUACCCCGGUAGUCCCUGUCUCUUAUAC